rnacentral:rRNA from 1 species
UACGUAGGGACCAAGCGUUGUUCGGAUUUACUGGGCGUAAAGGGCGCGUAGGCGGCAAUUCAAGUCAUCUGUGAAAUCUCCGGGCUUAACUCGGAACGGUCAGAUGAUACUGCUUUGCUAGAGUGCGGAAGGGGCAAUCGGAAUUCUUGGUGUAGCGGUGAAAUGCGUAGAUAUCAAGAGGAACACCUGAGGUGAAGACGGGUUGCUGGGCCGACACUGACGCUGAUAGCGCGAAAGCCAGGGGAGCAAACAGG